rfam:Schistosoma mansoni strain Puerto Rico chromosome 1, complete genome
AUCCAUCUGACGAGCCCGAAAAUGGGACGAAACGCACGUCCUAGAU